rnacentral:rRNA from 1 species
CUGGACAGAUCCUGACCCUUGAAGGCACGAAGGCUGGGGGAGCGAACAGGAUUAGAUACCCUGGUAGUCCCAGCAGUAAACGAUGUGAGCUUUGAUGUGGGGGGAUUCGACCCCUUCCGUGUCGAAGCUAACGCGAUAAGCUCAACCGCCUGAGGAGUACGGCCGCAAGGCUAAAACUCAAAGAAAUUGACGGGGACCCGCACAAGCGGUGGAGUAUGUGGCUUAAUUCGAUGCAACGCGAAGAACCUUACCUGGCCUUGACAUGCAUUGUGUCGUCGGUGAAAGCCGGCUAGUCCUGGAAACAGGACGCUUUGCACAGGUGCUGCAUGGCUGUCGUCAGCUCGUGUCGUGAGAUGUUGGGUUAAGUCCCGCAACGAGCGCAACCCUUGUGGUCAGUUACUAACCGGCUUAGCCGGAGGACUCUGGCCAGACUGCCCUGUCAAACGGGGAGGAAGGUGGGGACGACGUCAAGUCAGUAUGGCCCUUAUGGCCAGGGCUGCACACGUACUACAAUGCCCGGUACAAUGUGAACCGAAACCGCGAGGUGGAGGAAAUCGCUCUUGAAAACCGGGCCCAGUUCGGAUUGGAGUCUGCAACUCGACUCCAUGAAGUCGGAAUCGCUAGUAAUGGCGUAUCAGCAACGACGCCGUGAAUACGUUCCCGGGUCUUGUACACACCGCCCGUCACAUCAUGGAAGUCUCCUGUACCCGAAGCACGUGCGCCAACCUUUCAGGAGGCAGCGUUCGAAGGUAUGGGAGGUAACUGGGAUGAAGUCGUA